CCUACGGGAGGCAGCAGUGGGGAAUAUUGGACAAUGGGCGAAAGCCUGAUCCAGCCAUGCCGCGUGUGUGAAGAAGGCCUUCGGGUUGUAAAGCACUUUCAGUGGGGAAGAAAGCCUUGGGGCUAAUACCCUCGAGGAAGGACAUCACCCACAGAAGAAGCACCGGCUAACUCCGUGCCAGCAGCCGCGGUAAUACGGAGGGUGCGAGCGUUAAUCGGAAUUACUGGGCGUAAAGCGCGCGUAGGCGGUCUGAUAAGCCGGUUGUGAAAGCCCCGGGCUCAACCUGGGAACGGCAUCCGGAACUGUCAGGCUAGAGUGCAGGAGAGGAAGGUAGAAUUCCCUGUGUAGCGGUGAAAUGCGUAGAGAUCGGGAGGAAUACCAGUGGCGAAGGCGGCCUUCUGGACUGACACUGACGCUGAGGUGCGAAAGCGUGGGUAGCAAACAGGAUUAGAUACCCUGGUAGUC
rnacentral:rRNA from 1 species